rnacentral:rRNA from 1 species
GACGAACGCUGGCGGCGUGCUUAACACAUGCAAGUCGAACGGAAAGGCCUAGCUUGCUGGGUACUCGAGUGGCGAACGGGUGAGUAACACGUGGGUGAUCUGCCCCUGACUUUGGGAUAAGCCUGGGAAACUGGGUCUAAUACCGGAUAUUCAUUUUUCCUCGCAUGGGGAUUUGUGGAAAGCUUUUGCGGUUGGGGAUGGGCCCGCGGCCUAUCAGCUCGUUGGUGGAGUAAUGGCCUACCAAGGCGACGACGGGUAGCCGACCUGAGAGGGUGAUCGGCCACACUGGGACUGAGACACGGCCCAGACUCCUACGGGAGGCAGCAGUGGGGAAUAUUGCACAAUGGGCGCAAGCCUGAUGCAGCGACGCCGCGUGAGGGAUGACGGCCUUCGGGUUGUAAACCUCUUUCAGCUCCGACGAAGCGCAAGUGACGGUAGGAGCAGAAGAAGCACCGGCCAACUACGUG